UGAACGCUAGCGGGAGGCCUAACACAUGCAAGCCGAGCGGUAGAGAUUCUUCGGAAUCUUGAGAGCGGCGCACGGGUGCGGAACACGUGUGCAACCUGCCUUUAUCAGGGGAAUAGCCUUUCGAAAGGAAGAUUAAUGCCCCAUAAUAUAUCAUAUGGCAUCAUUUGAUAUUGAAAACUCCGGUGGAUAAAGAUGGGCACGCGCAGGAUUAGAUAGUUGGUAGGGUAACGGCCUACCAAGUCAGCGAUCCUUAGGGGGCCUGAGAGGGUGAUCCCCCACACUGGUACUGAGACACGGACCAGACUCCUACGGGAGGCAGCAGUGAGGAAUAUUGGACAAUGGGUGAGAGCCUGAUCCAGCCAUCCCGCGUGAAGGACGACGGCCCUAUGGGUUGUAAACUUCUUUUGUAUAGGGAUAAACCUACCCUCGUGAGGGUAGCUGAAGGUACUAUACGAAUAAGCACCGGCUAACUCCGUGCCAGCAGCCGCGGUAAUACGGAGGGUGCAAGCGUUAUCCGGAUUUAUUGGGUUUAAAGGGUCCGUAGGCUGAUGUGUAAGUCAGUGGUGAAAUCUCACAGCUUAACUGUGAAACUGCCAUUGAUACUGCAUGUCUUGAGUGUUGUUGAAGUAGCUGGAAUAAGUAGUGUAGCGGUGAAAUGCAUAGAUAUUACUUAGAACACCAAUUGCGAAGGCAGGUUACUAAGCAACAACUGACGCUGAUGGACGAAAGCGUGGGGAGCGAACAGGAUUAGAUACCCUGGUAGUCCACGCCGUAAACGAUGCUAACUCGUUUUUGGGCUUUUGGGUUCAGAGACUAAGCGAA
rnacentral:rRNA from 1 species